AGUGAACGCUGGCGGUAGGCCUAACACAUGCAAGUCGAACGGCAGCACAGUAAGAGCUUGCUCUUACGGGUGGCGAGUGGCGGACGGGUGAGGAAUACAUCGGAAUCUACUUUUUCGUGGGGGAUAGCGUAGGGAAACUUACGCUAAUACCGCAUACGACCUACGGGUGAAAGCAGGGGAUCUUCGGACCUUGCGCGAUUGAAUGAGCCGAUGUCGGAUUAGCUAGUUGGCGGGGUAAAGGCCCACCAAGGCGACGAUCCGUAGCUGGUCUUAGAGGAUGAUCAGCCACACUGGAACUGAGACACGGUCCAGACUCCUACGGGAGGCAGCAGUGGGGAAUAUUGGACAAUGGGCGCAAGCCUGAUCCAGCCAUACCGCGUGGGUGAAGAAGGCCUUCGGGUUGUAAAGCCCUUUUGUUGGGAAAGAAAAGCAGCAGGUUAAUACCCCGCUGUUCUGACGGUACCCAAAGAAUAAGCACCGGCUAACUUCGUG
rnacentral:rRNA from 1 species